AGUGACUUGUAACCACUAACACGAGUGAUUAGAUCAUAAAAAUCUCAAGGGUUUGAGAGUCAAGAUAAACUAAGCUAUACAAGAAGCACAAGACACAAACAGCCAAAAAAAAGGAAAUCACCAGCAAAGGACAAGAUAUAAAACCACAGAAACAAAAUAAAAGAUGAAUACAAAAAACAAAAAAAAAAAAUCCACCAACAGCUUCUCUAUAAUAAAUAGCCAAAUAAAAGGUAGGCCUAGAAUAUAACAUUCCAAACCACAGAUCAAAAGAAAAAUAUAUCAGAUGGGUACUAGAAUUACAAAGAAGCACUUCUAGUUUCCAGCUCUUUACUUCAAGCUAUGAUUCCUCAAUUUUAUAUAGGGUGACAUCGACAAGUUAGACCUAGGGGAGUAUUGGGAGUGAGCGAGAGAGACAGAGAGAGAAAUCAAAAUUAGGGUUUAUUACCCUCAAAUCCGCCUGUGAGGAGAGGGGAGGAGUACGCGGUGGCCGGUGGCUGUCGACAGACGGCAGGCAAUGAGGGCGCCAGUGGGCUGUGGGCGGUGUGGCUGUCGAGUGUCGAGUGAUGAUUGGGAGUCUGGGAAUGGGGCAGGGGAGGUACUGGGAGUUUGGGAAUGGCGUAAGGGAGAAUAGGAACUCAGAUUAGAAGGUGUGUGCGUGAGGGGCUGAGGGUGAGGUCCUCCAGAUCCGCGGGUCCGGGUCUGGAUAUUUUUCUCAGAUCCGAAUUCGGACCCGUGAAUUUAAACGAAUCCGGAUCCGACGGGUCCAAUUUUUUAGGACCCAGAUCCGUGAAAACGGAUACGGAUCCACGGAUCCGGGUCGGGUCCAAUACUCAUUGUCAUCCCUAUCCCUAUGCUCUUCUCUCUCUCCCAAAUCUGAGGCACCUCCUUCUUCCCUCAGAUCUAGUAAUUCAAAUCUCUAUUGUCAUCUCUUUUAUCAAAUCUUAAUGGAAGGCCAAAGAUUACAGGUUUUGUUAGAUUUGUUAGAUCUCCAGUAUGAUGAUGACUUGAGUAAAAUGGUAUUGAAAUUGAAGAUUGAUGCUGGUGGAUUUAGAGGCUUCUUUAGAGAUUAAUGUUUAUGUUUGAUUUGAUGUUGUAAUGAACUAUUUGUGGAAUUUGUAAUGAAUUUUUAAGUUGUUUUUAAUGUUUAAUGAAUUCUUUUAAGUUGUUGUAGUGAAAUUUUAAUAAACUCAUCAAAUUGUAAUGACCUAUUUUUGGAAAUUUUCAAUUGGAAUCAAUUUGGCUAAA